rnacentral:rRNA from 1 species
AUUGAAUGCUGGCGGCAGGCCUAACACAUGCAAGUCGAGCGGAUGACAGGAGCUUGCUCCUGGAUUCAGCGGCGGACGGGUGAGUAAUGCCUAGGAAUCUGCCUGGUAGUGGGGGACAACGUUUCGAAAGGAACGCUAAUACCGCAUACGUCCUACGGGAGAAAGCAGGGGACCUUCGGGCCUUGCGCUAUCAGAUGAGCCUAGGUCGGAUUAGCUAGUUGGUGAGGUAAUGGCUCACCAAGGCGACGAUCCGUAACUGGUCUGAGAGGAUGAUCAGUCACACUGGAACUGAGACACGGUCCAGACUCCUACGGGAGGCAGCAGUGGGGAAUAUUGGACAAUGGGCGAAAGCCUGACCCAGCCAUGCCGCGUGUGUGAAGAAGGUCUUCGGAUCGUAAAGCACUUUAAGUUGGGAGGAAGGGUUGUAGAUUAAUACUCUGCAAUUUUGACGUUACCGACAGAAUAAGCACCGGCUAACUCUGUGCCAGCCGCCGCCGUAAGAC